GAAAAAAGAAACGAAAAAGCAGAGAAAGAAAAAACAAAAAAAAACAGAUCUAAAAGAGAGCAGCUGCCAACUUUCUUCUCGUUCCUAAAAGAAAACACCAUGGCUGAAACAUGCCUUCCUCCCCCAAAAUUCAGCCAUUAAAACUCACCUAAAGCUUCCAUGAGAAUGACCCAAAACGCUGCUAGAAAUCAGCUGCGUCAAACGACAAAAACGGUCAUGAAAAGCAGUUCUUUAGCCCCAUAUAUGACGCCAAAAACCAGUCAGAACUCAGCAGCUUUUUAGCUCUUAAACUACCCCAAACCAUCCCUCUUUUUGUAAAUUUUCACUCCCAAAACCAGCACAAACAAAUUAUCUUUUUCACGCCCCAAAACCACCCUAAACCACCGUGAAACACCCCCUAAAACUCGAACUCAAACCAGCCACCAUCCUCCAUGAAAAUCAGUUGUAAAUCCCUCUUAUACUAGCUGAAAAAUACCAUGAAAAGCAACUCCAAGAUAACUCCAGCUGUUGAGAUUUAGCUAAGGUCGUUCGAGGUUGUCGUUCGAGUUUCCGCUCAAAGGCGUUCAAGCUAUUUUGUUGUUCGUCACUCAAGUUUAUGCCGGCUUUACUCUACUGUAAAUCUCACUUGGAGUUUUCCAGUUAAUCAAGUUAUGGAAAAUUAUUUGGCUUAAAGAUUCAGGCGUAGCUGGUCCCACCUUCGAGUGUUGAUUCAUUCCAGCUUCAAGCGGAUCUUCGAUGAGUCUUUAGGUAGCUAUUGGCAUUCGCAGCUUGGAGCUCCUCCCUAUCUCUUUCCUUUAUGUUCUUAGUUCAGUAUUUAAAACUCUGUAGUUACAUUUGAGGAUUCAGUAUUGUUAGAUGCUCGUGACUUGUGACACCCCGGUUAGGGCUGUGUUGGGUUGUACUUUCGCACCUUAUUGAUAUUAUCCGCUACUUAUUAUCAUUAAAUCAUGUUUUCGACUA